UACGAAGGGGGGCUAGCGUUGCUCGGAAUCACUGGGCGUAAAGCGCACGUAGGCGGCUUGUUAAGUCAGGGGUGAAAUCCUGGAGCUCAACUCCAGAACUGCCUUUGAUACUGGCGAGCUUGAGUUCGGGGAGAGGUGAGUGGAACUGCGAGUGUAGAGGUGAAAUUCGUAGAUAUUCGCAAGAACACCAGUGGCGAAGGCGGCUCACUGGCCCGAUACUGACGCUGAGGCACGAAAGCGUGGGGGAGCAAACAGGG
rnacentral:rRNA from 1 species